GGAGGAUUAUGCAAAUUGGUGAAGCAAGUGGUCUGUAAAACCAUGACGUAAGAUACAUUGGGGGUUCGAAUCCCUUGUCCUCCA
rnacentral:tRNA from 1 species